rnacentral:rRNA from 1 species
UUUCGCAAUGCCCGAAAGGGUGACGAAGCGACGCCGCGUGUGGGAAGAAGGCCUUCGGGUUGUAAACCACUGUCGGGAGUUAAGAAAUGCAAGGAUAUUAAUAGUGUCUUUGCUUGACUAAGGCUCCGGAGGAAGCCACGGCUAACUCUGUGCCAGCAGCCGCGGUAAUACAGAGGCGGCAAGCGUUGUUCGGAAUUAUUGGGCGUAAAGAGCACGUAGGCGGCUGUGCAAGUCGGUUGUGAAAGCCUUCCGCUUAACGGAAGAACAGCGACCGAUACUGCAUAGCUAGAGUGCGGGAGGGGAGAGUGGAACUUCUGGUGGAGCGGUGAAAUGCGUAGAUAUCAGAAGGAACGCCGGCGGCGAAAGCGGCUCUCUGGACCGUAACUGACGCUGAGUGUGCGAAAGCUAGGGGAGCAAACGGGAUUAGAUACCCCGGUAGUCCUAGCCGUAAACGAUGGGCACUAAGUAGAGGGGUUUU